ensembl:processed_transcript uncharacterized LOC110325325
GCUUUCCCAGCUCCGGGCCCAGGUUGUCGCUCCGCCGCUUCCGAGGCGACUGCAGCCCGGCUCAGAUGCUCAGGAACUCCCUCACAAGGCCUUCCCACAGUGGGAUGCUUAGCUCUAUGGAACCAAAUCAACACAAGAAAACCCAGGCCCUGGGCCCAGACGCCCGAGUCCCGAGCAGAAGAGACAGAAAACAGAUGAACUAGGUGAUUGAUGAAAACACAAAGAGGAAGCCGAGUGGUGAUAGUGGGUGAACAGUGAGAAAACCAACGGAGACCUGAGAGAUGAAAGGAGCCUGACUCUAGUGGAGACACUGUCUGACACGACGGACAGACAGUGGAAGAUGACAGGGCCACUGAAGGUCAGCCAGAGCGCCUUGAAAGAUCACCAAUACAAGUUCAUAGCCCCCCAACGCUGGGUCUCAUUAAAGUGCUUCUUUACCUGGCUAAGGCCACGUGAGCCUUUUCUUUCUCUUCAUCUCCCAUUUCCAAGUCCAUCAUUUUCA